UUGUAGUCUGCAACUCGACUACAUGAAGCUGGAAUCGCUAGUAAUCGCGGAUCAGAAUGCCGCGGUGAAUACGUUCCCGGGUCUUGUACACACCGCCCGUCACACCAUGGGAGUCGAUAACGCCCGAAGUCAGUGACCCAACCUGUAAGGAGGGAGCUGCCGAAGGCGGGAUUGAUAACUGGGGUGAAGUCGUAACAAGGUAUC
rnacentral:rRNA from 1 species